AACAAGGACAAAGGGGAAGGGAUCAAAUAAGUAAAAUGAACUACACAUACAACAUAUUGAAGUAAAGUAAUCAAGCAUGGUUGCAAACAGGGGAUCAAUUCUUACUGCACCAAACCCUAAUACAAUUAACCUCGGGAAGAGGUUUUUAGGCUAAUCAAGUAGCGAAGCAGACCUGGAUACAUGGUAUUAACACACAAGGAAAAGUAAACAGCUAUUGAGACAAGGAAUGGGGUAAGGGGGAACAUGAUAAGCUAAACUAGUAAACUGGUAAGUGCAUGCUAGUGACAAUAAGAACAACAGAACCAUAGAUAAAAGAACACAAGGAACAAGAUUAACAUGAUAAGCUAAAAUAAUAAGGGCAUGCUAGUGACAAUAAGAACAACAGAACCAUAGAUAAAACCACACAAGGAACAAAUGAAGUGCAGGACUAACAAAAACAUAUUGUUUAGGAGAUUGUAUAUUAGAUAAGUAACAUACCAGUUUCAGGAAAGUAGAACACAUAGAGCAACAAUGCACUAUAUGAGCAGAGUGAGCAGAGAAUAAGGGCAACAAUGUGAGAACGGCAAUGCAAAGAAGCAAGCAUCAGGCAAAAACCCAAGUAACCAAUGCAAUAGAACCCUAGUAGUGUAGAAAUAAACAUCCAAGAUUACUCAAUCUUGGUUUUCAGCCGAUUAAGUGAGAGAGUUUGUAGAGAAGCAAUAGAGAAUUAGAGAGCACUGAGUGUUAUUGAAAGAGAGUUCAGAGAGAUUGUAAUGUGCCGGUUUGUGUUAAGUGAGAAAGGAAGAGCAAUACUUCUAGUUGUCGAAAAAUAAUAGAGAUGAGGAUAAGGAGUAUCUAAUUAUAGAAACAGUACCAAAUUGAAUCAAUCUCAGGUCCUAGUUCAACUAAAUCAGGGACUCAUGAUUUGAAUACGAGUACAGGUUAUCAAAUAAGGAAAAAAUCAAACGAAUGACUGAUUAUGCCAUAAUGAAAGCAGUAGGAAUAUUGUACAUAAUAAAGGCUAGGUAAACAAUAUUUUAAACAAGGAAAAUAUAUGCUGAAUAACCAAAAUAUACUCGAGUGCACAAAUAUGGCAAACAAUAUAAAUCAACUAUGAACAGUCAGUCAAAGAAUCACGGGCAAUACCAAAAGUAGAGGGAGUUAGUCCCAAUCAUAGAAAGCAACUCACAAAUAAGGAAGACAUUUGAAAUUAGUGUAAGACACAUAUGAAUUAGGGAUUCAAAAAAAAUACUCGGAAUUAAUAGGAUAUUCAGUAAAGAGAGAGGCAUUCGAACUUAAAAUUUCACCGAAAUUAAAAACUCUAAGCAAAGAGUCAUACAAACAGUAGAGGGUCAGAGCCAAAGAAGAGACCUGGAGCAUGGAACUCAGAGACAACGAGGUUUCAAACACAUAACAUCACAUAAUACCCAAAGAAACAGAAGCCUAAUGAUUUUAAAAAGGGGUCAGAAACCCUAGUUUUGAAAAGAGGUACAAAACGUUUGAAAACUUGAAUUAAUCAAAGAUAUAGAGUGAAAAGUAGAGUAGAAAAUAAAGAUUAAACCGAAAAUCACUUAAAAAGACAGAGGUUUAAGAGAUUUAGGCAAAAAAUUAGGGUUUGCAAAAUAAAUUAGGGAAAUGAGAAAC
rnacentral:lncRNA from 1 species